GAUGAACGCUGGCGGCGUGCUUAACACAUGCAAGUCGAACGGUGAACACGGAGCUUUGUCUGUGGGAUCAUUGGCGAACGGGUGAGUAACACGUGAGCAAACUGCACCUGUAUCAGUGAUAAGAGCUGGAAACGGCGUCGAAUACUGGGGAUGUGACGUUGCCGCGUGGGCUUCGUUUGGAAAGAUUGUUCUGGUGGGGAUGUGUACGUGGCCUAUCAGCGUAUUAGUGAGGUGAUGGCGCAACAGGUCGUCGACGGGUCGCCGGCCUGGGAGGGUGAACGGCCACACUGGGACUAAGACACGGCCCAGACUCCUACGGGCGGCAGCAGUGGGGAAUAUUGCACAAUGGGCGCAAGCCUGAUGCAGCAACGCCGCGUGCGGGAUGACGUCCUUCGGGUUGUAAACCUAUUUUAGCAGGGAAGAAGCGAAAGUGACGGUACCUGCAGAAAAAGCGCCGGCUAACUACGUG
rnacentral:rRNA from 1 species